UGUCAACAAACCGGAAUCUAAUUUCUCAAUUCUCGCUUCACCGUGUCUUAAGAACCCGCCACCAUUCUGGAGCCUUUAUCGCCCAGAAUAUGAAGAAACGGAAACAGAGAAUGGUGUAGAUUUAGGGUACUACACCGUAGGGAACUCUGCAGAAGAAGAAUCAGAGACAAUGACAAAGGAUUGCGCUCUAGAAACUUCCUCAGGUUAGGCUCAAAAAGGUCGGGAAAGCUGGUCCAGCCUUUGGACUCGAUUUGGUUGAAGGACUCGGUUUCGGUGCUGGUCUUAUCGAAGGUUUUGACUAUGGUGUUGGAAGAGGAGCUGCUUAUGAUUAGUCUCGUUCUUAUUAUAACGUUGGGAAGCCAUCUUUGAAUGAAGUUGAUUCUCUUAUUGAUGAACUUGUUGUUAGUACCAAGAAGCUUGUGAAAUCCACUACGAAAGAAAUCGACAAGUGGAUAAAAUGAUGAACAUUAGGAAAAUUAUAGCUUGUUGCAUUGCAGCUGUCAAGUAAAUAUCGGUUGAUGUAUGGAGAAUAUAUGCGCUGGCUUUGUUACUAAAUUUUCCGUUGAUUUGAACGAACACGUCAUCAUUGUGUGGGUUUAAGAGAUAGAUUUGGUUACUGGCCAGAACAUUUUCUUGUUAGAUACACAUGGUACACUUUUAAAACUUACCUCUUUCAGCUUUUUUUCUCUCCUGUGCUAAUAGCUUUGUGCAUACGGUCGACUGGUUGAGUCACAAAGCUUAAGGAACAUCAUGUUACUGAUAUGUGGCUGAGAUGCUUUAUUGUGAUGCAGGAAAUAUAUUCACCUGAUUGAAAUAGCUGAUGUGUUAUGCUUAUGAGAUCAAAAUGUUUGGAUCGGUUGAAAUAUGGGUUCUUAUGGUAUGAGUAAGAGAGAUAGCCAUGGAAGGCAGAAGAAUCGGAGAAACAAAUCCGAUUAUAGGCCAGAGUCUGAGUUUACCCUUCUGACUCAUAUGGUUCUGAUGAUUGGUUGCUUCCCAUGAGUCCCUGGAGGUGGAAAGGCACAGAAGGAUCCGAUGCCAUACCUCGAGUAAUGAUUCACUUAUUGUGAUGGUGGACAGAAUGGAAGAGUAAAAAGAGAUCUUCAUCUAAAGGAUUUUUCCAAGCAAAUAAACUGCAUUAGCAGUCUCAGUUAGUAUAUGGGGGUAAGUGAAUCACUAUUAAGAAUGUGGUAGAUGGUUAUUGUUUUCGACUUUUUAUUGUUAUAAUUUUUAUAAUAGGAUGUAAGAGUAUCAUGGAGUAGGAAUAUUUGACUUUACUGGAAAAAAUUUUAAUAGAUUUUUGAAUUGAACUUUUGACUCCGGCUAUUG